ACAGGUGCUGCAUGGCUGUCGUCAGCUCGUGUUGUGAAAUGUUGGGUUAAGUCCCGCAACGAGCGCAACCCUUAUCCUUUGUUGCCAGCGGUCCGGCCGGGAACUCAAAGGAGACUGCCAGUGAUAAACUGGAGGAAGGUGGGGAUGACGUCAAGUCAUCAUGGCCCUUACGACCAGGGCUACACACGUGCUACAAUGGCGCAUACAAAGAGAAGCGACCUCGCGAGAGCAAGCGGACCUCAUAAAGUGCGUCGUAGUCCGGAUUGGAGUCUGCAACUCGACUCCAUGAAGUCGGAAUCGCUAGUAAUCGUGGAUCAGAAUGCCACGGUGAAUACGUUCCCGGGCCUUGUACACACCGCCCGUCACACCAUGGGAGUGGGUUGC
rnacentral:rRNA from 2 species